rnacentral:lncRNA from 7 species
AUGCAGUAAUGCAGCAGAUGGAAUGGAGGCGCAGUGUUUGUGACAAUGAGGUACCAGUAUUUCCUCCCUCUCUUGUCAAGCAGAAGUUAUUCGUCUGUAGCUGCAUUCCUUAUUGUUUUGACUUUCUCUUCUCUGAGUGACUAUUACAGUCUCCCUCCUCUCUCAGCUGGGACUUAAUGAUUUUCUCAGCUAAAGCAGACAAAAACGGGGAUCUGUUCUGCUGUGUGUGUUUAAGCACAGCAGGUGUGUGCAUGUGGAUGCAGGGCGUAAGAACUCCUCUUCUGGGUUUACAAGCGAUACCACCUGAAUUCAGUAAGCUACGGGAACUUAAUCCGGCUUCAAUAAUUGCACCCUGGUAGAAGACAUGGAGACAGGAAGAAAUAGUAUUGGCCUCUGUCUAGCUCCAAACAAAUUCAAGACUCAAACCAGUAAGAGAGCAACUGAACAACACCACUUCCGGGUAAAUAUAAUAGGUAAUCAUCAUAAGGACCGAAUUCCUGAGGAAGCUACGCAAUAAUCGUUAAAUCGUUAAACAGCCAAAUUAUACACAAGAAAAGGCAGUACUUCAGCAGAAAGAACUAUGUUGGUACAAAUGAAGUAAGAAGUUAUUGUUUGGUUUCUGUGACCUGUGUAAGUGAUAAUUUAGAAAGAAAAGUAGGCAAAAAAGCAACAAAUAGAUAUAUAUAUAUUGAUACUUUUGGGUAUCCCAAUGUAAAUAUAUAGCCCAAAUGAAAAAAUAUAUAUAUUUUCAAACUGAGUAAAUUGAAAAGAUGAAAGCCAUUUUAUUCUUCUGAAAUAAACAAAUACAUAAAUAAAUAAAAAUCUUGGUCAGCAGCAGAGUAAAUAUUUUUAGGAAAAGAAAGAUAUUCAAUAUGCCAGAAUUCAAGUUUAAUGGCUUUAAUAUUGCAUUUGCUUGUAUGUCUAUAACACUUCUGUUAGACAGGUCAUGUUGCUGCCAUUUACCUGGGUGUUUGGUCUUGUUUAGUUUUUGAAUCAGUGCUCUUCAAGAAAAUUAAGAAAUGUGAUUUCUUUAAAAGGUAAAUGGAUGCAUACUUCAAAGAGAGUCUAAAGAUGAAGAUUGUACCAGAUACUCGUUUAUGAUAUUUGAACUUGCCCUUCAUUCAGAAAAAUAAUUUGUUGUGUUGGUAUACUGCGAUGCAAGAACUGCAUUCUUACUGGUAUUUUCCAAAUACAGACUUCUCUGAUAAAUAAAAUAUUUUGUUUUUAUCCU